AGGCAGAUUAUAACCUGAUGGUGUUGAAUUCCGCAUGUUAUUUCAACUAAAGAUUUAUCGGUAACGGAUGGGGAUGCGUGACAUUAGGUAGAUGGCGGGGUAACGGCCCACCAUGCCUACGAUGUCUAGGGGUUCUGAGAGGAAGGUCCCCCACACUGGAACUGAGACACGGUCCAGACUCCUACGGGAGGCAGCAGUGAGGAAUAUUGGUCAAUGGCCGGAAGGCUGAACCAGCCAAGUAGCGUGAAGGAUGAAGGUUCUAUGGAUUGUAAACUUCUUUUAUACGGGAAUAAAACCUCCCACGUGUGGGAGCUUGUAUGUACCGUAUGAAUAAGCAUCGGCUAACUCCGUGCCAGCAGCCGCGGUAAUACGGAGGAUGCGAGCGUUAUCCGGAUUUAUUGGGUUUAAAGGGAGCGUAAAGGGGAUGUAAA
rnacentral:rRNA from 1 species